GGCCUACGGGGGGCAGCAGUGGGGAAUAUUGCACAAUGGAGGAAACCCUGAUGCAGCAACGCCGCGUGAGUGAAGAAGUAUUUCGGUAUGUAAAGCUCUAUCAGCAGGGAAGAAAAUGACGGUACCUGAGUAAGAAGCCCCGGCUAACUACGUGCCAGCAGCCGCGGUAAUACGUAGGGGGCAAGCGUUAUCCGGAUUUACUGGGUGUAAAGGGAGCGUAGACGGUGCGCCGAGUCUGGAGUGAAAUGCCGCAGCUUAACUGCGGAACUGCUUUGGAAACUGGCGAACUAGAGUGCGGGAGGGGU
rnacentral:rRNA from 1 species